rnacentral:rRNA from 1 species
UAAGACAGAGGUGGCAAGCGUUGUUCGGAUUUAUUGGGCGUAAAGCGAACGCAGGCGGUUUGGUAAGUCAGGGGUGAAAGACCACAGCUUAACUGUGGUAUUGCCUUUGAUACUGCCUUUCUUGAGUGGAGUAGGGGGAAGCGGAAUUCCGAGUGUAGAGGUGAAAUUCGUAGAUAUUCGGAGGAACACCGGUGGCGAAGGCGGCUUCCUGGACUCUAACUGACGCUCAUGUUCGAAAGCGUGGGUAGCAAACAGGAUUAGAUACCCUGGUAGUCCACGCCCUAAACGAUGGGCACUAGGUGUGGGAGGUAUCGACCCCUUCCGUGCCGCAGCUAACGCAUUAAGUGCCCCGCCUGGGGAGUACGGCCGCAAGGUUGAAACUUAAAUGAAUUGACGG